ACUCCUACGGGAGGCAGCAGUGGGGAAUCUUGGACAAUGGGCGCAAGCCUGAUCCAGCCAUGCCGCGUGAGUGAUGAAGGCCCUAGGGUCGUAAAGCUCUUUCGCCAGGGAUGAUAAUGACAGUACCUGGUAAAGAAACCCCGGCUAACUCCGUGCCAGCAGCCGCGGUAAUACGGAGGGGGUUAGCGUUGUUCGGAAUUACUGGGGCGUAAAGCGCACGUAGGCGGAUCGGAAAGUUGGGGGUGAAAUCCCGGGGGCUCAACCCCGGAACUGCCUCCAAAACUAUCGGUCUAGAGUUCGAGAGAGGUGAGUGGAAUUCCGAGUGUAGAGGUGAAAUUCGUAGAUAUUCGGAGGAACACCAGUGGCGAAGGCGGCUCACUGGCUCGAUACUGACGCUGAGGUGCGAAAGUGUGGGGAGCAAACAGGAUUAGAUACCCUGGUAGCACAGAG
rnacentral:rRNA from 1 species